CUGGUCUGGAGCAGCUGUGCGAGCAGCUUAGUCCCAGAGGCUGCGGAGGACUGCACUUGUCCCUUCUUGUAACCACUGCCUCUUCUUUAUUUGCAGUUUUUUGCCCAAGGAUGAGGUGCCGGAAUUUCUACUGGCGGAUCUCGCUGAACAACAAGGUACUGUGCCACCAUGUCAACGUGACAGUGUGUCCCAGGUCACCUCCUUUUCUAAAGGGGACCCAUGGAAGCAAUGGGUUCAGGAAGUGCUGAGGGAUCAGCAGGGCCAGG
ensembl:lncRNA